rnacentral:rRNA from 1 species
UACGUAGGGAGCAAGCGUUGUCCGGAAUCAUUGGGCGUAAAGCGCGCGUAGGCGGCCCUGUAAGUCCGUUGUGAAAGUCAAAGGCUCAACCUUUGAAAGCCGAUGGAUACUGCAGGGCUAGAGUCCGGAAGAGGCGAGUGGAAUUCCUGAUGUAGCGGUGGAAUGCGCAGAUAUCAGGAGGAACACCAAUAGCGAAGGCAGCUCGCUGGGACGUGACUGACGCUGAGACGCGAAAGCGUGGGGAGCAAACAGG